CUGCAACACAGAGUGAAUUUUAAUGCUAUUUUACUUGCCUAUUGGCUAAAAAUAUACGUCAGUUCUCUUACUAAACUUUAAUAAGGAUCUUAAAAUAAUUCCUCUUGUCACAUUUCGAUGAAUUGACUACAAUUAAGCCCAACUGAGUAUUUUAAGAAAUAUCCAGGAGCACACAGACGAUGUAGAAAAUGAUAUAUGGAUAUCUUAAAGAAGGUGUAAGCAGUGAUUGUUGGAAAAGUAAGGCGGUUAAACCUGAUGGCUUGCAGAGAUUUAUCUGAUUUUACAUUCAUAAUAUUACAUUUCUAUUGAGCAGAUUCAGACUGAAUUCUGUUCAGAAGGUGAGGGAAUUUCUAAGAAAGAUUUAAAGGAAAAUUGGAGGAGAUACAAAUGGAACUCUCAGAGGAUACUACAGAAACAUCACAACAGAUGCAACAGGAAAAAGCUGAUCCUGAAUUAACUGCUACAGAUAUUGACUUAUCUAAAUUUUUGGCCUUAAUACGAAUUACAAAUGUUUAACAUGGAAUAUAAAUGGAGCAAAUGUUCCUCAAAGGAGAAAAUAAAUGUCUUUAUUUGAAAAAA